rnacentral:rRNA from 1 species
UUGAUGGCUCAGUUCCAUGUUGGGCGUCAAAGAGGGUGAAAAUCCCGUACUCCAGUCUGUCCAUGUGAAGCCCUUUCGACGAGUCGAGUUGUUUGGGAAUGCAGCUCAAAAUGGGUGGUAAAUUUCAUCUAAAGCUAAAUAUCAGCCAAAGACCGAUAGCGAACAAGUAGAGUGAUCGAAAGAUGAAAAGCACUUUGAAAAGAGAGUUAAACAGCACGUGAAAUUGUUGAAAGGGAAGCGCUCGCAACUAGACUUGCUUGGUGCACUCAGGCCAACAUCGAUUUCGACGGUCGGAUAAAGACUUGGAAAGUGGCUUUCGGAGUGUUAUAGCCCGAGUGUCAUGCGGCCAAUCGGGAUCGAGGAUUGCGCAAGGAUGUUGGCUUAAUGGUGCCAGCGACCCGUCUUGAAACACGGACCAAGGAGUAGUAUUUAUGCGAGCAUUUGGGUGUAAAACCCUAUGCGUAAUGAAAGUGAACGCAGGUGGGGCUCACCAUCGACCGGUCUGAGUUCGCGAGGAUCUGAGUAUGAGUAUAAAUAUUGACCCGAAAGAAGAUGAACUAUUCCUGACUAGGGUGAAGCCAGAGGAAACUCUGGUGGAGGCUCGCAGCGGUUCUGACGUGCAAAUCGAUCGUCAAAGCUGGGAAUAGGGGCGAAAGACUAAUCGAAUCUUCUAGUAGCUGGUUCCUGUCGAAGUUUCCCUCAGGAUAGCAGUAACGACAGUCUCAUGAGGUAGAGCAACGAUUAGAGGCCUUGGGGCAGAAACUGCCUUAACCUAUUCUCGAACUCCGAAUAUGUGAGAAGUCC